UGCAGUCGAGCGGUAGCACAGAGAGCUUGCUCUCGGGUGACGAGCGGCGGACGGGUGAGUAAUGUCUGGGAAACUGCCUGAUGGAGGGGGAUAACUACUGGAAACGGUAGCUAAUACCGCAUAACGUCGCAAGACCAAAGUGGGGGACCUUCGGGCCUCAUGCCAUCAGAUGUGCCCAGAUGGGAUUAGCUAGUAGGUGGGGUAAUGGCUCACCUAGGCGACGAUCCCUAGCUGGUCUGAGAGGAUGACCAGCCACACUGGAACUGAGACACGGUCCAGACUCCUACGGGAGGCAGCAGUGGGGAAUAUUGCACAAUGGGCGCAAGCCUGAUGCAGCCAUGCCGCGUGUAUGAAGAAGGCCUUCGGGUUGUAAAGUACUUUCAGCGAGGAGGAAGGCAUCAAGGUUAAUAACCUUGGUGAUUGACGUUACUCGCAGAAGAAGCACCGGCUAACUCCGUGCCAGCAGCCGCGGUAAUACGGAGGGUGCAAGCGUUAAUCGGAAUUACUGGGCGUAAAGCGCACGCAGGCGGUCUGUCAAGUCGGAUGUGAAAUCCCCGGGCUCAACCUGGGAACUGCAUUCGAAACUGGCAGGCUAGAGUCUUGUAGAGGGGGGUAGAAUUCCAGGUGUAGCGGUGAAAUGCGUAGAGAUCUGGAGGAAUACCGGUGGCGAAGGCGGCCCCCUGGACAAAGACUGACGCUCAGGUGCGAAAGCGUGGGGAGCAAACAGGAUUAGAUACCCUGGUAGUCCACGCCGUAAACGAUGUCGACUUGGAGGUUGUGCCCUUGAGGCGUGGCUUCCGGAGCUAACGCGUUAAGUCGACCGCCUGGGGAGUACGGCCGCAAGGUUAAAACUCAAAUGAAUUGACGGGGGCCCGCACAAGCGGUGGAGCAUGUGGUUUAAUUCGAUGCAACGCGAAGAACCUUACCUACUCUUGACAUCCAGAGAACUUAGCAGAGAUGCUUUGGUGCCUUCGGGAACUCUGAGACAGGUGCUGCAUGGCUGUCGUCAGCUCGUGUUGUGAAAUGUUGGGUUAAGUCCCGCAACGAGCGCAACCCUUAUCCUUUGUUGCCAGCGGUUCGGCCGGGAACUCAAAGGAGACUGCCAGUGAUAAACUGGAGGAAGGUGGGGAUGACGUCAAGUCAUCAUGGCCCUUACGAGUAGGGCUACACACGUGCUACAAUGGCAUAUACAAAGAGAAGCGACCUCGCGAGAGCAAGCGGACCUCAUAAAGUAUGUCGUAGUCCGGAUUGGAGUCUGCAACUCGACUCCAUGAAGUCGGAAUCGCUAGUAAUCGUAGAUCAGAAUGCUACGGUGAAUACGUUCCCGGGCCUUGUACACACCGCCCGUCACACCAUGGGAGUGGGUUGCAAAAGAAGUAGGUAGCUUAACCUUCGGGAGGGCGC
rnacentral:rRNA from 1 species